rnacentral:ncRNA from 2 species
GUUUGUUUAACUAUGGCAAUAAGAAAUAGAUGGUAGUUUAAUUGCAUAAAAUUAUUAUAUAAUAACUUUGAUUAUGUAUUAAUUAAUGAAUUAGCAGUUAGUUUUUUAUUAGAGUUAGCGUUUUUUAAGAAGCUACUAUAGAAAGGGGAUAGGACACAGUGCCAGCAUCCGCGGUUAAUCUGUUUUCUUUGUUUUUUUGUAAUAUACUCACUAAAGGUUAAGCGUAAGGUUAGGUGAAAUUUUCUUAUUUUUGUAUUAAACUUUUGUUGAGUAGGGAGUAGUGGUUUGUGACAGGGAUUAGAUACCCCAUUAAUCUACUAUGUAUUAAAGUUUAGUUUUAUAACUAAAAUAGUUUGGCAGCGAGUUACUCCUGUUGGGGGAAGGUGUGGUUUAAAGGACGAUCCGCCUAUUAGUUUACUUCAGUUAUGUUGGUGUAUAUCUGGUUAAAUAUUAUUGCUUAAUAGCUGAAUUUGUGGUCAUUUAAUAAGUUAAGCCAAGUCUAUGUGCUGCAUAUUGGAGUCUCUUCAUGCGUUACUAUUAUGAUAGUAGAUGUGGAAUCAUUUAUUGUAGUAAGGACUCAAGAGUAAGUUUAGUUAAAUUUGCUAAGUUGAAAGAGGUUUAACUCGGGUACACACCGCCCGUCACCCUCGACAUCUGUUGAGGUAAGUCGUAACAUGGUAACCCCAAAUGAAUUUGGGGUUAAUUACUGUUUGUA